rnacentral:lncRNA from 10 species
AAGCGUCGUUGGGGCAGGUCCUGGGGAGAGUUCAGGUUGGCGGGUCCUGGGGCGGGGCCAGGACAGGGCGAUCCUGGAAGCGGGGCUUCGGAAGCGUCCAGCGCCACCCGUCUGGGGCCCGAUAGGAGGGAGCUUUCUGUCUGUCCCCCAGCCUUUGGACUGUCACCAAACAAGCCAUCCGUUCACCAAAUACUUAUUAAGCGCCUACCAUGUGUCUGGCAAGGGAGGUGUAACAGUGAGAAAAACUAGGUGUGGUCCAGGCCCUCCAGGGGCUCAGGGGCUCGUGGAAGAAGUGGACAUUGAAGUACUUACCACACAAAUGAGCAUGAAAGUACAAUAGCAAUAUCUGCCACGAAGCUGUUGUUCCCCACCAGAACCAAAUGAGCGCAAGAUCUGACAAAGAAAAAAAAAGGUUCAUCUUUUAUUCCGCCAAACACUUUCAUCUAAAUCAAGAGGGUGGGAUGUGGUUAUUGCUGUGUUUUUAGACAGAAUCAACAGUUUCUGGGUCUGAGAUAUUGCAUACACCCUCUCAGUCCCUGUAUCCUCAGAUGGAGUCACCUGAGAAUCC